UACGGAGGGUGCAAGCGUUAUCCGGAUUUACUGGGGUUAAAGGGUGCGCAGGCGGAUAUGUAAGUCAGUGGUGAAAUCUCUGGGCUUAACCCGGAAAUUGCCAUUGAUACUAUAUAUCUUGAAUGCUGUGGAGGUAAGCGGAAUAUGUCAUGUAGCGGUGAAAUGCUUAGAUAUGACAUAGAACACCUAUUGCGAAGGCAGCUUACUACGCAGAUAUUGACGCUCAUGCACGAAAGCGUGGGGAUCAAACAGG
rnacentral:rRNA from 1 species